UUUCAAGUCAGGAGUGAAAGGCUACGGCUCAACCGUAGUAAGCUCUUGAAACUGGGAGACUUGAGUGCAGGAGAGGAGAGUGGAAUUCCUAGUGUAGCGGUGAAAUGCGUAGAUAUUAGGAGGAACACCAGUUGCGAAGGCGGCUCUCUGGACUGUAACUGACGCUGAGGCACGAAAGCGUGGGGAGCAAACAGGAUUAGAUACCCUGGUAGUCCACGCUGUAAACGAUGAGUAC
rnacentral:rRNA from 1 species